rnacentral:rRNA from 1 species
AAUCAACGCUGGCGGCGCGCUUAACACAUGCAAGUCGCACGAGAAAGUGGAGCAAUCCAUGAGUACAGUGGCGUACGGGUGAGUAACACGUGGGUAAUCUACCUCUUAGUGGGGAAUAACUCUGGGAAACCGGAGCUAAUACCGCAUAAGCCUGGAAAGGGAAAGCAGCAAUGCGCUGAGAGAGGAGCCCGCGGCCGAUUAGCUAGUUGGUAGGUAAAGCCACCAAGGCAAUGAUCGGUAGCCGGCCUGAGAGGGCACACGGCCACACUGGCACUGAAACACGGGCCAGACUCCUACGGGAGGCAGCAGUGGGGAAUCUUGCACAAUGGGGGCAACCCUGAUGCAGCGACGCCGCGUGAGCGAUGAAGCCC